rnacentral:rRNA from 1 species
CCUACGGGAGGCAGCAGUGAGGAAUAUUGGUCAAUGGGCGCAAGCCUGAACCAGCCAAGCCGCGUGAGGGAAGACGGCCCUACGGGUUGUAAACCUCUUUUGCCGGGGAGCAAGCCUUAGCACGUGUGCCCAGGCGGAGAGUACCCGGAGAAAAAGCAUCGGCUAACUCCGUCCCAGCAGCCGCGGUAAUACGGAGGAUGCGAGCGUUAUCCGGAUUUAUUGGGUUUAAAGGGUGCGCGGGCGGGCUGUUAAGCCGGCGGUAAAGAGUCAGGGCUCAACCCUGUGGAGCCGUCGGAACGGGCAGUCUUGAGUGGGAGAGAAGUAUGAGGAAUGCGUGGUGUAGCGGUGAAAUGAAUAGAUAUCACGCAGAACGCGGAUUGAGAAGGCAGCAUACCGGGGCACAGCUGACGCUGAGGCACGAAAGCGUGGGGAUCGAACAGGAUUAGAUACGGUAGUC